AUUGAACGCUAGCGGGAUGCUUUACACAUGCAAGUCGAACGGCAGCGCGGACUUCGGUCUGGCGGCGAGUGGCGAACGGGUGAGUAAUGUAUCGGAACGUGCCCAGUAGCGGGGGAUAACUACGCGAAAGCGUAGCUAAUACCGCAUACGCCCUACGGGGGAAAGCAGGGGAUCGUAAGACCUUGCACUAUUGGAGCGGCCGAUAUCGGAUUAGCUAGUUGGUGAGGUAACGGCUCACCAAGGCGACGAUCCGUAGCUGGUUUGAGAGGACGACCAGCCACACUGGGACUGAGACACGGCCCAGACUCCUACGGGAGGCAGCAGUGGGGAAUUUUGGACAAUGGGGGCAACCCUGAUUCAGCCAUCCCGCGUGUGCGAUGAAGGCCUUCGGGUUGUAAAGCACUUUUGGCAGGAAAGAAACGUCGCGGGCUAAUACCCCGUGGAACUGACGGUACCUGCAGAAUAAGCACCGGCUAACUACGUG
rnacentral:rRNA from 1 species